AACCCUUUCAGGUUCUAGAUACUGUAGCACUAAAAGUGUACCAUCAUAAAGAUACAACAACGUAGAACAAACAUCACUUCAGAACAAUGGUUGUCCGGCUUCUUCUUCUCCUUGUCCAUGGCAGGGUGAUCUCUAGCUCUCCCCACACUAACAGCAGUAGUAACUCUGGUCUGUCCAUGCAUGGUGCCUGGGGUGGGGCCAACCACCACCCUGUGCCCUAUCCCUGCAGAUUCAACAACAUACCUGACCCAGCGAUGGGUUACCCCUGGCACCCUGUCCUGUACUGCUGUGGCUGCUCCUCUGAGAGUGGCCUCAACGGCCAACAAUGUGGCCAGGGGCAGAGGCAGGGAUAUGGAAUAACUGAGGAGGAUGUUUACAAGGCUACACCUUACCAGGAAAUGACUGGUCCACAUCCACCAAUGAGAAUUCAGGUGAGAACAAUGCUCUUUACAGUAUGGCAUAGCAAACAUGCACACAGGCCUUUAACGUGUCCUCUCUGUAACACACCUGCUCCUCUUCCCUCCUCAGGUAGUGCUGCCCCCUAUCCAGGAUGGACCCCCACAGCAAGUCGGCCGAGACCCAGCAGAGAGCACCCAGACUGGGCCACAGCACAUAGGUCCUGCCCCUGGAGCACUUCUACCUCGCAGGAAGACGUGAGUAACCAAUAAGAAAUGUGUUAGUGUGUGUGUGUGUGUGUGUGUGUGUGUGUGUGUGUGUGUGUGUGUGUGUGUGUGUUUGUGUGUUAAUGUGUGUCUCUCUGUGUGUGUGUAACCAGAUGUCGGGCAGUGUGUAAGGGUUAUGCUGAGCGGUACCAGGAGCAAAGGGAGGUCAGAGCCCAGAAGGCCCAGAAGUCAAAUGUUAGGGCUGAUCCCACUAUCCCCACCCACACCACCCUGCCCAACAUCACACACCCUGCCCUACAUUCCACACCCUGAGUGGAGAGGUCAGUGUGUGAGUGCGUGUGUGUGUGAGAGAGUGAGAGAAUCUGACAUUUGUGUAGAAGGUUUGUUCAUCCUGCAUGUGUGAAUGUUUCCGACUAUCAG
rnacentral:lncRNA from 13 species